AUGCCGCCCCAACGGCUUCCUGACGGGGCGGAUUCACUUUAAAUGGAGCA
rnacentral:ncRNA from 12 species